rnacentral:rRNA from 1 species
CUACGGGUUGCACCAGGCGCGAAACCUUUACAAUGCACGCAAGUGUGAUAAGGGGAUCCCCAGUGCUCAUGUAUUGCAUGGGCUUUUGCCAAGUGUAAAUAGCUUGGCGAAUAAGUGGUGGGUAAGACUGGUGCCAGCCGCCGCGGUAACACCAGCGCCACGAGUGGUAACCGCGAUUAUUGGGCCUAAAGCGUCCGUAGCCGGUCUUGUAAAUCCUUUGUGAAAUUGCUCGGCUCAACCGAUCAGCGCGCAAGGGACACUGCAAGACUCGAGACCGGGAGGAGUCAGAAGUAUUCCAGGGGGAGCGGUAAAAUGUUAUAAUCCCUGGAGGACUACCUGUGGCGAAGGCGUCUGACCAGAACGGAUCUGACGGUGAGGGACGAAAGCCAGGGGAGCGAACCGGAUUAGAUACCCGCGUAGUC